GUAGUCAUAUGCUUGUCUCAAAGAUUAAGCCAUGCAUGUCUAAGUAUAAGCAAUUAUACAGCGAAACUGCGAAUGGCCCAUUAAAUCAGUUAUCGUUUAUUUGAUAGUACCUUACUACUUGGAUAACCGUGGUAAUUCUAGAGCUAAUACAUGCUAAAAACCCCGACUCACGAAGGGGUGUAUUUAUUAGAUUAAAAACCAAUGCCCUUCGGGGCUCUCUGGUGAUUCAUAAUAACUUCUCGAAUCGCAUGGUCUUGUGCCGGCGAUGGUUCAUUCAAAUUUCUGCCCUAUCAACUUUCGAUGGCAGGGUCUUGGCCUGCCAUGGUUACAACGGGUAACGGAGGGUUAGGGCUCGACCCCGGAGAAGGAGCCUGAGAAACGGCUACUACAUCCAAGGAAGGCAGCAGGCGCGCAAAUUACCCAAUCCCGAUUCGGGRAGGUAGUGACAAUAAAUACUGAUACAGGGCUCUUUUGGGUCUUGUAAUUGGAAUGAGUACAAUUUAAAUCCCUUAACGAGGAACAAUUGGAGGGCAAGUCUGGUGCCAGCAGCCGCGGUAAUCC
rnacentral:rRNA from 1 species